rnacentral:rRNA from 1 species
CAGUAGCCGCGGGAAUACGUAGGUGGCAAGCGUUGUCCGGAAUUAUUGGGCGUAAAGCGCGCGCAGGCGGAUAGGUCAGUCUGUCUUAAAGGUUCGGGGCUUAACCCCGUGAUGGGAUGGAAACUGCCAGUCUAGAGUAUCGGAGAGGAAAGUGGAAUUCCUAGUGUAGCGGUGAAAUGCGUUGAUAUUAGGAAGAACACCAGUGGCGAGGGCGACUUUCUGGACGAAAACUGACGCUGAGGCGCGAAAGCCAGGGGAGCGAACGGGAUUAGAUACCCCCGUAGUCCCUGUCUCUUAUACC